CCUAUUUUGUAGAAUUCACACUAUAGGAUGUAGGUAGUGAAAAUAUUUAGAGGGGGGCCUCAAAAUUGAAUUGCACCUGGGGCCUCUCAAAUGCUAAAUCCACCACUGGACACAUUAUAUAAAGAAUGUUUUGCAAUCAUUUAUUGCAACAUGAGUUCAAGCUCUUCAAUGAGUAAAUUAAAAACAUUUUCAUAUUGGAUGCUAUUUGUUGGAUUGAUAAUGCAUACAAAAAAUUGAUUCUGACUUCAUCCAAAAACGUUUCAAGAAAAGUGGUUUUGAAUUUGAAACUAUUGAUCAACCUGAACAUGAAAUGGAAGAAUUUUUCUGAUGUAUCACACCUUGAUGAAAUUCAGAUAUUUAUAGGACAGCUUGAAGACAUUAAUUUGUAAGUAAAUGAUGAAGAAUAUGCCAAUAUUGAUAACCUGCAUCUGUUAAGAGGUUUUUUUAAUCAAAUUAUGAGUGAUUUGAUCCAGUUAAGAAGAAAAGAAAAAUCUAAAAAUGAAGAAGACAGCAAUGAGAAAGAAUUCCAGAAACCGAUGCUUUCUUUACUACUUUCUUUCUACUGCUCUACAAGGUACAGGAAUAUUCUAAUCAGAAUACUUUUUCUGGCACAAAUCGAGCGGACCAGGAACUCUUUACGCACCUUUAUUGAGAGAGGCGUUUUCGGCGUUGGAACGCCCUCAUCAG
rnacentral:lncRNA from 1 species